rnacentral:lncRNA from 10 species
GGGCAGUGGAGGGGCUGAAACUAAAGGUGACGUGGUUUUAGAAGUAGUUGAGUCCGUAGAUGUACCUCCCACACUCUGCACACGUGAAGGGAGCUGGCCCUCUCCCACCCCAGCAAGACUCUGGGGGCUCAGUCUCUGGAGGGGGCAGAUGAGUGUCUCUACCCAGGGGUUGCCAGGCCCGUAAACUCCGGGAAUACUCACUUCCCAGGCCAGUCCUGGCAUGACUGCCAUGGGAUGGGACCCUGACCUUUAUGCAGGGCCCCUGGGUGAGCGUCUCCCUGGGACUCCUCAGAGCGUAGAAGGGAAGAUGGAGAGAUGCUGACGUAGCUGGGUGAGGGUGGCAGCAGUGGGCUCACCUGGUCACUCUACGGUGGAACCAAGGGUUCAGGUAGCCAGAUGGAAGGGAUACGUGACCACAAAGCGCGGUGGCUAAUGCUGCCCCCAGAGUGACUUCCACUCCUGCGGAAUGGGCAGGACAAAGACUCCACAAGCCCGAGCUCCCCAGCAGACAUCAGGUCGCGUGUGAAGGAUUACGGUUCAGGAUGGCUCUGGAUCCUCAACAGCCACGAGGGCCAGAGGACAAUGGACAGCGGUUGCCAACCCACAGUCCAGUGUGAAAUCAAAUCCAGAGAUUUCUGGAAAUGCACAGGCUCAAAACCUUACUUCCCUUAAGCCCUACCCCAAGAAGCACCUCCAGGAAGCUGAAGUCUGUCUCCAGUUUAAGAAAGUAAAUCUGGAAAGGGGAGACUUAGGGUGUAGGAAACACAGUCCCCCACCGGAGCAGGGCAACAGGAGUGCAGGCCCAGGCCGGUCCUCACUGACUCCAAGCUCUAUGCUGGGCUGGAAGAUUGUCUGAACUCGGCUGGUCCUGACCUAGGUAACAGAGUGCCUGAUGCCCGUCUGUGUCCCAGGGGGCGGGUAGGACCCACAGAAGUGUCCGUCUGUGUCCCAGGGGGCGGGUAGGACCCACAGAAGUGUCCCUCUGUGUCCCAGGAGGUGGGUAGGACCCACAGAAGUGUCUGUCUGUGUCCCAGGGGGCGGGUAGGACCCACAGAAGUGUCGACUUACUCUGGGGGCUGGAGCGGGGCUGCAGUGUGUUCAGAAGCAGAAAAUGUAGACCAGUCCUGGCCUCAUUCAUGCCAGACUCCAUGCAGGGGCCCCUCCUCAUGAAGCCCCAGGAGGGUCUUGUCCACCCUCAGGGAGGCUGAAGCCAGACCACACCCCUGAGAGUGUCCCGAAGCCCUUGCCUCCCCGGGGAAACUGCUCCCCAACCCCAUCUCCCUAGGAUCAUCAAUCUGUAAACUGCAGAGACGCCUGAAAGACUUCGCAGUGGUGAGUGUGACAAACACAUGCAUAAGAUUCCAAAAGAAAAAGAAAUGAGGUGGAAAAAAGAAAUAGGUAGACAGGGCCCUUGCUUCCCAUUUUGCUGUCUCUCACACCCAGGGUGGCCUCAUUCACUUCUCUGGGGGAGCACAGGGGCAUGUCCCACCUGCCACCCACCAGCUGGGCUGUGAUUGCAGGCCAGUCCCUAAGGCUCUGGGCUCCAGCCUCCGCAUCCGUAAAUGGGGCCACAAACCCCUGUGUGGAGGAUGUGUUGACCAUGCUUGUAGGCCCUGUGCUGGCUGUUUGAUGUCUGUUAUUCCAAAUAACCUCUCCUUGAGUUUGUUGAAUCAUAGGGCCAGGUGAGCAGCUGGAGCUGCUUACAUCUUUUGGGGAGUAUGGAAGUCCCAUUACAAUGCCCUCAACCUGCCUGUGUCCCCGUAGCUCCUAGGAGAUGUCUCUACUUCAUUACUUCCCACCACCAUGGCCCUGAAGGCAUGUUCAGAUGGUCCCUCUGUCUGCUUUCUGACCCCCGCCUGGGACAGGCCUGUGUGGCCCCGUGGGGUGUGCUGUGCCUCUUGCUUUGGGGAGAGCUUUGAGUAUUAAAGACCUUUCAGUGGCCUUUGCCUCCUGCACAAUCAUGAAUUAAGACUCGGCACCACACGGAGGGUAAAUGGUGUCUACUCCUGCUUUGUGGGGCACCCUAGUGUGUGUGCGUAUUGAGGUGUCCCCUGGGGCUGCCCUGGCCUAGUCAGUCUAAGCCACCUGCUCCCAAGUCUCCACUCUUGGAGUGGAGAUUGUUGGCGGCUAGGGCUGGCUCUUGGACUGCAAGCUGCAGGUGGGGUGGGGUGGGGUGGGUGGGACAGUUCAGGUCCAGACCCCCAAGUCUCCAUCAAGCAGGAACCCAGAAGGUGGCCAAGGGCAAGGGCAGAGUUACAGCCUGCAGACUGGGUUAGACUCACAGCAGGCCUUCCAGAGGCUGGGCUGCAGGCAGCUGCCAUGCAGUGGUGAGGAAGGCGGUGCAGAGGGGAACCAUAGCCUGCUUCAGGGAGAGACCUCCUUUGGGGAGAGGGCCCCCCAACUUACGAGCCCCUUGGCUUUAGACAAGCAAUGCUCUCUUGAGCCUCACCUUCCUGGAAUGGGAACGUGAGAUGGAAAAGUAUGAUUGUCCCGCUGAAGGGGCUGGGGGUAAGAACGUGAGUCACUGGAUGGAAAUUGCUUGGUAACCCACAAGGCUGGGCAUGCCCAGCAUCACUUGGGUCCCUGGGGCAGCUGCUGGCAUUCCCAGAACCCGUGGGGGGUUGGCCCACUUGCUGUGGGAGGGGAGGCCCACCGUGGCCUUGGUCAUGUUCUCCAGAGCGAGCCGUG